UCCCCAGCUCUGCCGGAUCGAUUAUAGC
rnacentral:piRNA from 1 species